rnacentral:rRNA from 1 species
UAAUACGUAGGUGGCAAGCGUUGUCCGGAUUUAUUGGGCGUAAAGCGAGCGCAGGCGGAAAAAUAAGUCUAAUGUGAAAGCCCUCGGCUUAACCGAGGAACUGCAUCGGAAACUGUUUUUCUUGAGUGCAGAAGAGGAGAGUGGAACUCCAUGUGUAGCGGUGGAAUGCGUAGAUAUAUGGAAGAACACCAGUGGCGAAGGCGGCUCUCUGGUCUGCAACUGACGCUGAGGCUCGAAAGCAUGGGUAGCGAACAGGAUUAGAUACCCUGGUAGUCCAUGCCGUAAACGAUGAGUGCUAAGUGUUGGGAGGUUUCCGCCUCUCAGUGCUGCAGCUAACGCAUUAAGCACUCCGCCUGGGGAGUACGACCGCAAGGUUG